rnacentral:rRNA from 1 species
UACGUAGGGGGCAAGCGUUGUCCGGAAUCAUUGGGCGUAAAGCGCGUGUAGGCGGUCCGGUAAGUCCGCUGUGAAAGUCGGGGGCUCAACCCUCGGAUGCCGGUGGAUACUGUCGGGCUUGAGUACGGAAGAGGCGAGUGGAAUUCCUGGUGUAGCGGUGAAAUGCGCAGAUAUCAGGAGGAACACCAAUUGCGAAGGCAGCUCGCUGGGACGUUACUGACGCUGAGACGCGAAAGCGUGGGGAGCAAACAGGAU